CCUACGGGUGGCAGCAGUGAGGAAUAUUGGUCAAUGGACGAGAGCCUGAACCAGCCAAGUAGCGUGAAGGAUGACUGCCCUAUGGGUUGUAAACUUCUUUUAUAUGGGAAUAAAAUGUUCCACGUGUGGGAUUUUGUAUGUACCAUAUGAAUAAGCAUCGGCUAACUCCGUGCCAGCAGCCGCGGUAAUACGGAGGAUCCGAGCGUUAUCCGGAUUUAUUGGGUUUAAAGGGGGCGUAGGUGGAUUGUUAAGUCAGUUGUGAAAGUUUGGGGCUCAACCGUAAAAUUGCAGUUGAAACUGGCAGUCUUGAGUAAAGUAGAGGUGGGCGGAAUGCGUGGUGUAGCGGUGAAAUGCUUAGAUAUCACGAAGAACUCCGAUUGCGAAGGCAGUUCACUGGACUGCAACUGACACUGAGGCACGAAAGUGUGGGUAUCAAACAGGAUUAGAUACCCGAGUAGUC
rnacentral:rRNA from 1 species